GAUGAAGAACGUAGCGAAAUGCGAUACUUGGUGUGAAUUGCAGAAUCCCGUGAACCAUCGAGUCUUUGAACGCAAGUUGCGCCCGAAGCCAUCAGGUUGAGGGCACGUCUGCCUGGGCGUCACAUAUCGUUGCCCAAUGCCUAUUGCAGUGCAAUAGGAAUUUCUAGGGCGAAUGAUGGCUUCCCGUGAGCGUUGUUGCCUCGCGGUUGGUUGAAAAUCGAGUCCUUGGUAGGGUGUGCCAUGGUAGAUGGUGGCCGAGUUAGAACGAUACCGAUCAUGUGCAUGCUCCCCAAAAUAUGGCCUCUAUGACCCACACGCGUCUUUUGACGCUCAUGACGAGACCUCAGGUCAGGCGGGGCUACCCGCUGAAUUUAAGCAUAUCAAUAAGCGGAGGA
rnacentral:misc_RNA from 1 species